rnacentral:piRNA from 1 species
UGCGGGGUUCAUAUCAAAUUUCUGGAAAAGUC